CCCGAGCGAAGAAAAGUGGAAAAGAGUGUUAUUCGUCAAAAAACCCACACAACGACGGUCAUUUUUUCGCCGUACUAUUGUAAAAUUGUCUUUUAUCUGUGUUUUGUGUUCCAGGGGACCCCGACUCCAGAAUGUGAAAGUUUCCCGCGUGAAGCCGUGGAGCUCGAGAUCCUGUUUACUGUGGACUAGCUGUGUGUGACGCCAUGUUGUUUUUGUUUCCAUUCAAAAAAAAAAAAGCCAUCGUCUCGGGGACUCCGAUGAUAGCGAAGAAGACCCGGGUAAUAGUGACCUCACAUCUCUGGGGUUGGCAAGCCAAUUGCACAGGCAGACUCCACCGUCUCGCCGAGUGCCAGCAAGAGUCAUGAGUACUUGUCAACUCGACUCCUCAACUGGAGAUAACUUUCUAGCACCUCACCAUGGGGAAGGACGCAUUCAUAUGCCUUCACCAGCACCUGCAUUAAACAUGCAGAGAGUUACACAAGUU